CGGGCUGAUGCCGUACCUGGUGCGCAGGGCCUGCCAGGCGGCGUCGAUGUCGGCAUAGAGGUUCCUCUCGGAAGGCCUGCCCGAGCUGGCACCGUAGCCGGAGUAGUCGUAGGAGAAGAUGUUGCAGUUGAUGCGGGAGCCGAGGCCAAUGUAGAAGCUGCACAUCUGGCCCAGGUCCACGGCGUUGCCGUGCGAGAAGAGCA
rnacentral:misc_RNA from 1 species